GACGAACGCUGGCGGCGUGCUUAACACAUGCAAGUCGAGCGAGGCCCCUCCUUCGGGAGGGUGUCCUAGCGGCGAACGGGUGAGUAACACGUGGGCAACCUGCCCUCAGCUCUGGGAUAACUCCGGGAAACCGGGGCUAAUACCGGAUACGACCUCCACGGGCAUCUGCGGAGGUGGAAAGUUUUUCGGCUGAGGAUGGGCCCGCGGCCUAUCAGCUAGUUGGUGGGGUAGUGGCCCACCAAGGCGACGACGGGUAGCCGGCCUGAGAGGGCGACCGGCCACACUGGGACUGAGACACGGCCCAGACUCCUACGGGAGGCAGCAGUGGGGAAUAUUGCGAAAUGGGCGAAAGCCUGACGCAGCGACGCCGCGUGAGGGACGAAGGCCUUCGGGUUGUAAACCUCUUUCAGCAGGGACGAAGCGAAAGUGACGGUACCUGCAGAAGAAGCACCGGCCAACUACGUG
rnacentral:rRNA from 1 species